CCAAUAGCGUAUAUUAAAGUUGUUGCAGUUAAAAAGCUCAUAGUUGAAUUUCGGGAUCAAUAUGUUGGUCGUGCCUUGGUACGUACUAGUUUAUUGGUUUCUUCCUUCUGACGAACCAUGAUGUCAUUAAUUUGGUGUUAUGGGGAAUCAGGACUGUUACUUUGAAAAAAUUAGAGUGUUUAAAGCAGGCUUCACGCUUGAAUACAUUAGCAUGGAAUAAUGAAAUAGGACGUUUGAUUCUAUUUUGUUGGUUUCUAGGAUCGACGUAAUGAUUAAUAGGGAUAGUUGGGGGCAUUAGUAUUCAAUUGUUAGAGGUGAAAUUCUUGGAUUUAUUGAAGACUAACUACUGCGAAAGCAUUUGCCAAGGAUGUUUUCAUUAAUCAAGAACGAAAGUUAGGGGAUCGAAGACGAUCAGAUACCGUCGUAGUCUUAACCAUAAACUAUGCCGACUAGGGAUCGGAUGAUGUUAAUUUUUUAAUGACUCAUUCGGCGCCUUACG
rnacentral:rRNA from 1 species